rnacentral:rRNA from 1 species
AUUGAACGCUGGCGGCAUGCCUUACACAUGCAAGUCGAACGGCAGCAUGGAGAGCUUGCUCUCUGAUGGCGAGUGGCGAACGGGUGAGUAAAGCAUCGGAACGUACCGUGUAGUGGGGGAUAACGUAGCGAAAGUUACGCUAAUACCGCAUACGCACUGAGGUGGAAAGCAGGGGAUCGUAAGACCUUGCGCUAUACGAGCGGCCGAUGUCAGAUUAGCUAGUUGGUAGGGUAAAGGCCUACCAAGGCGACGAUCUGUAGCGGGUCUGAGAGGAUGAUCCGCCACACUGGGACUGAGACACGGCCCAGACUCCUACGGGAGGCAGCAGUGGGGAAUUUUGGACAAUGGGGGCAACCCUGAUCCAGCCAUGCCGCGUGAGUGAAGAAGGCCUUCGGGUUGUAAAGCUCUUUCGGCCGGGAGGAAAUCGCACAGGCUAAUACCCUGUGUGGAUGACGGUACCGGCAUAAGAAGCACCGGCUAACUACAUGCCAGCCGCCGCAGUAA